CACUGGGAGGCACAACAAACCGGCAUUCCAUGUAGUGCUUACGCCACUUGAAAUGAGAUUUGUUGCUGAUUUCUCUAAUCGUAACUCGCCUCUUGCGCAUGUAGGCAGCUGCAGUAUUACAAAAUACAGGAUUUAACUGCACAGUGGCUGCUAAGAAUGACAACAAAGCCAACAAAGCUUGCGGUUCAGUCACCGUGUUGUGUAUUGAUCAAGUUGUAUUGGGACGGCAGGAGAAACCGCAGAGCCAGUUGAGCCGCACGGAACUGAAGCUGGGAAGUGAGUUCAGCGAGAUCUUUAGCGGACAAGAACAAAAUGGUGAGCGUGUGCAUUUGAAUGGUUUAUUUUAUUGUUUGUAAUUUACCGUCUUUCUCCAAUGUGUAUUCAGAGUUAUUGGAAAGAUACCCCAUGGGCAAUGUUUCUGUCUCAUAUUCUGCAGAAGUGUUUAGUUGUUGUUGUUUUUUUUUUUUGUUUGUUUUUUUGGCCAAGCACAAACCACAGUUCAUGUUUGCAGAGGGCAAAGAGCAAAGUCUAAAGCAAAAAGUGUUUGAACUCUACAAUGAGAUUUCCGGUUGUUGUUUUAUUUAUUUAUUUAUUUUUUUCCUUCCUCGCUGUGGCUCUGAGUGGCGAAGAUGCUGCAUUGUGUAACCUUGGUGUCAGCAGUCUGUGCCGGUCAUUUGAAUGUGCAGGCACAUUGCCAAAGAUGAAGUUAAUGACCUUAGAUGCCACAAUCAGCCUUGAUGAUAGUGCCUUGCAAUAUGAGGGAAUUGGUAUUCAUCGUGUCCACUGCAAGCGAUGAAUUAUUAAUGCCUGGCUGCAAGUAAACUUUUCGCCGUGUAGAGGUGGGGAGGGCAGCUGUGGGCUAAACAGUGGGAAGGGAAGAGAAUAUGAAACGCACAGCUCCGUCAUGAAGUGGCGUACAGACGUACCGACUACUCCGCCACCAGUCAUGUCAUUAUUAAGUACAGCGUCAUGUGGAAAUAAAUGAGUAAGUUAUAAAGGAAAUGGAAUAAGAUGGUAAUCCUUUCAUACUGUUAAAGGGUAAAAUGAAAAGAAGACAUGAUCAACAAGAGGGGGGAAAUGCAUUAAAAAGCAAUGCACUAAAAUAAAUAUAGAGAAGAUUAAUAAAAUUAGCAUCUAACCGCACACAGUAGUAGUAAAGUGCAGAGUACGCAGAUAAAUAGAAUGGUAAGGUAUACGUAUAUGUGCAGAUGAGCGAGUAUCUACAGUGUAAAUGUGAACUGUAUUAAAAGGAUCUGGUUACAUGUCUUUUAGUCUGGGGGAGGAAACCCCGGAAGCACAUGCAAACUAUGCGCACACAGGGCGGAGGCGGGAUUCGAACCCCCAACCUCGGAUGGUGCAAUGCAAUCAUGCUAACCACUUUUGGACAUGCAGACAUUUGAUCAUGAAUAGUCCCUGUUAAUGAAGUCGAUAUACUUGAAUAAAACGACAAGGUUAGUUAGCUUUUUCAAUCAUUUAUUCAACAGAUAUUAAUAGAUGUGAGAUUCUUCUGUGGAAAAAGUAAGUACACCCUCGGCGUCAGAAGCUAGUAUUGCCCCCUUUAGCAGAAAUAAGUUCUUGUAGGUGUUUUGCAUAAUUGUCCACCAGGCUCGCUGGAAGUGUUGACCACUCUUCCAUGCAAUAUGUUUUCAACUGCAGGAUGUUUGAGGGUUUUCUUGCAUGUACGGUCCGUUUCAAAUCCCCCACAACGUUUCAAUGGGAUUCAAAUCCGGGCUUUGACAAGGCCAUUCCAUCACCCUCCAUUUCUUCUUUUUUUGAGCCGUUCCCUGGUGGAUUUGCUAGUGUGCUUAGGAUCAUUAUCCUGUUGACCGGUCCACUUUCAGUUCAACUUCAACUUUCAGACAGAUGGCCCCACGUUAUAUUCAAGCACUCUUUGAUAUGAUGCAGAAUUUAUUGUUGAGUCAAUGAAUGCGAGCUGUCCAGUCCUUGAGGCAGAGAAGCAACCCCAAACCAUAACAUUUCCACCACCGUGCUUGACAGUUGGUAUGAGGUGCUUCUCCUGAAAAGCUGUCGUUAGUCUGCACCAAACAUGUCUGCUGUUACUGUGGACAAACAACUCUAUCUUUGAUUCGUCUGUCCAGAGCACAAUUUUCCAAAAGUCCUGGUCUUUGCCUAUAUGUUCAUUUUCAAACUGUAGUCCCGCAAAGGCUUUUUCCUGGCACACCUCCCAUGCAGGUCAAAUUUGUGCAAUCUCUUUCUGAUUGUAGAAGCAUGCACUUUGACAACAACAGUUGCAAGAACUACUAGCAAAAGAUUUUUUGGGUUCUUGAAGACUUCUUUUCCUUUACAGUGGAAUGAUGUAUUUCAAAUAAUUUGUCUAUGUAUGUAUAUAUGUGUGUGUAUAUAUGUGUGUGUAUAUAUGUGUGUGUAUGUAUGUAUGUGUGUGUGUG
ensembl:lncRNA